AGUUAAUCAGGUUCAUAUCAUCUUGAAAAGAAAAUGAAAAUAUUAAAAAUAGUAAGCCCCAUGUGAGUAUGCUCAUGGCAUAAAACCCAUAAGAACAUUCACUGUGGUGGCAUAAAAAUAAAUAUAUUCCUGUCCUAUAAAAAUGAGAAUAUAAAAAUAAAUUCAUGAUCCUACUAAAGAGUGUAACAUUUAUUGAGGAGGCUCAACAUGAUAAAGGCUAGAUAUUUUUGCUAACACUUAACUAGUUCCACAAAGCUUUAUUGUCUAUUUGAGCUCCACAGAAUUCAAGGAUCAAAGAAGACUAGCAGACGGAGGACAUCCUAAUCGCUGUCAGGGUGCUGCCGACAUUCAAAUACACCUCCGCCACCUGCUAGCUACAUCAGAGGAAAUUGCGUCAAAAUCCAGCUUGGGGGAGAGCACCCCCAUUUAUCCAGCUAAGUAUUUUACUCACGUUUAUACUUUACUCAAAUAAUAAAAAGAUGCAUAAUCAUAAAAACCGAAAUAAAGAUUUUGUGCUUAUAUAUAUAUCUUUGCUUAGUUUGCUAAAUAAAUAAAUAAAUAAAAUUUGCUAUGAACCCUCAUGAUAAGCUCUCACAUGGAAAGAUGAAUAGUUGCUCUGCCAUGACUAGUUCUCAAAAUUGAAAUCUCUCUCAAGUUUAGGCAUCACUGUUAUUAAUUAAGAUUUGCUCUAAACCUAAACUUGUGGUUAGAGUACUUGAUCUAAAGUCUAAGUCGUUAACGGAUAUGAUACGGGAAGGUUGAGCUGCUGUUUAUCUGUUCCUAGAGAUGCUAGAAUUCUAGAGAAUUUUAUCUUUGAAAAUCUUUAAAUUGUUGCAUGAUGAGUUCCUGUAUGAUGAGAGUUUAAAUUCCUACCACAGCCAUAUAUACAUGCUUUCUAGACUUUGAGCCACACAUCUACUUUAUACUGCUUAUGAGCAUUGAGUGUGGUCAAGCUGUGUAGACCCUUUGGAGCUUGUCAUGUGGUUAAGUCAACAUUCACUUGCACGUUCACUCACACAUGCUACUUCUACUCCGGAAGUACCAUCCACAUAUAUCCACUCAUUUCUAUCUCCAGAUUCACCCAAAAUUAUUCUACUCCUAAUCCGGGAGAGAAUAGCCAAAAAUAUUUUCCUAUCCCUGUUAUUCCCUGCGAAAUACAUGCUCGAGUUAUCUUGGUUACUACCACUUGCCACAUUAUUCUAGGAGGAUGAGUGCUCUAAAAAAAAGAAAAAAAAUGAAGAAUACGAGGAAAUAAAAAGGGGCAAGUGCCCGGAACCUCGAAAGAAAGAAAAAGUGAGACGAAAGGUAAAAAUGGACAAGUGUCCGACAGUAGAAUUAGGGGUACAAGAUACCCACGUGAGAGAAAAAGAAAAUAUAGAGCAUCUCAUUCUCCCCAAAAGUUUCAAAAGAGCAAGAAAGGUAUGUAUCCCCUCAAAAGAGCAUAAGUAGAAUUAGACUUUCACCAUUGUUAUCACCAUCAUCACCAUACACCAUUCAUUCGCCACACAUGCACAUCUUGAUUUGACUUAUUGACUUGUUCUUCUGGAUCCAUGGUUUGACUAUGCAAUAAAUGUCUUGUAAGUAUAUAUUAGCUGUCUCCCACCUAUGAGCUCCAGAUAUCAAAACCUUAUUAGAGUAGGGUGAGAGAGAAGGUAAUGUCACUAUGCCUCAUACCAAAAAUACCACAUACUUUGAGAGAAGGCAUACACCUUUACUGCCUUGGUAAGGAUCCAGAAAUACCACAAAAGAGAGACUAGAGAGAGUCAUACAAGGAAUCUCUUAGUUUUAUUUGAAAAUCUGCACAAACUCCAGAGCUAUAGUUAAUCGAAGAACAAGAGACAUGGCGCUUGACUAGACCAUUCUAUCUUUUAACUACUCAAGUCAGAAGUGACGGUUGCAAGCCCCAUGGUGGAAGGUAAUAUGAGUAAAUUUAAAUCUUAACAGUUUACCCUAACCCAGAGAUGAGAUCUUGUUUGAACGCAUGUGUAUCUUUAAGGCAUGAAACCACUGCAGAAACUCUUGAGUUCAUCUUUGCUCAGGGACGAGCAAAGGUUAAGCUUGGGGGAGCUUGUUGACGGUCCUUAAUGCUCACAUUUAACCGUCAGCUAAUUAUAGAAAAGGAUCCAAAUGCAACCAACACCUAGACUUAGGGUUUUAUCUGACAGAAUUCCACAAGUUUUGGUGUUUGUCUAUUUCUGCAGGGGGUUAUCAGGAAAUAAGGAAGAAAGGCCCACACGUCGGGUUUACAUAGAGAUAUUAACGUGCCGCGCAAUUUUCUACCAUCUAGAAGACUCCAGA
rnacentral:lncRNA from 1 species